AAUCAAAGCAUAAAAAUAGGAUCUUGAAUGACAUACCAGGAGCAUCUUCAAGAAGGUAAAGAGGAGGAGAACAAUCACAUUUACAAGGCAUACAAGAUUGAGCAGCUUUAACUUUUAGUUUCUUCAACUUCCAAUAAAUAGCAGGAGAUACACAAAGUGCAGAAACUACAGCAAAAAUCACUGAACAGCACCUCAAGCAAUUCUCCAAAAACCCUCUUAGGAACCCAAAUCACCAAACACAAAAUCCUCAAAACUUACAAUAAAACUAACGCCACGCAAUAGAAUCAAUCAAACAAAGAACCCCUUUUAAGGAGAAACAGGAUCUUUAUGAAAAUCAAAGCAUAAAAAUAGGAUCUUGGAUCACAUACCAGGAGCAACUUCAAGAAGGGAGAGAGGAGGAGAACAAUCACAUUUACAAGGCGUACAAGAUUGAGCAGCUUUAACUUUGAGUUUCUUCAACUUCCAAUAAAUAGCAGGACCAGAUACACAAAGUGCAGAAACUACAGCAAAUAUUACUAAACAACACCUUAAGCAAU
rnacentral:lncRNA from 1 species